GCCUUUAUAGAGAAAAAGGGGGAGUGGUGAGGGGCUGUUCUAAAGAAAAGUCCACAGGGGGAAAGUAGCAGUUCAGGGUGGCAACAGCUUCUCAUUGGCUGAGCUGCAGCAUUUCUCAUUGGCUGGGCUGUUGCCAGGUUGGAAGAGACUCUUCCAUCAGUAGUAAAGUAGUUUUACUUCCUGUUGAAGAUGCAAGCUUCCCUCUCUUCCUGUUUGGUAUAAUUGACAAUGUGUGAUAGGGCGUGAGAGCUCCCACUACAGGACUUCCCAGCUGCAAUUUACUCAAGGUUCUUUUAUUAAUUUCCACAAGUGGUAUAGCAAAAUAACCGCAACAAAAAAGAAAGCUCUAAAAGACCCCUGGCUCACCUGCUGGAUAAGUGAAAGCCUAUUAAUAAGAGACAGAGGCUUGCUUAUGUAAUGAAGUCCUGCAGAGAACAGCAAAGACACAUGAAAAUAAGAAUAAGUGAAUGAAGAGGAGGAAUGAUCCCACUGACCCAUAUCUUGAGACUUCUUGGGAGGUCAGACAUACAUGACACAGACUAUUGAAAGUCUAAGGAAAAAUCCAGAAGGAAUGUUCGAUAUAGGCAUAAAUAGUCAUCAAAGACAAGCUUUUACCUUAAAAAGGCUGGAGGCUCCGUUUUCCCCUGGCUUCAGGGAAGGAAGCUCUGGUAGAAGGGAAGAGAGCAGCAUCGGCAGUGUGCUGGAGCCCCCUCGUAGUGGCUGGCAAGAACGGAUUGUGAAAAUCUCAUUCAUUUUUCAAGUGAGUUGCUAAUUCUUGGUACUUUGAAAUCAACC
rnacentral:lncRNA from 1 species